rnacentral:rRNA from 1 species
GAUGAACGCUGGCGGCGUGCCUAAUACAUGCAAGUCGAGCGAACAGAUAAGGAGCUUGCUCCUUUGACGUUAGCGGCGGACGGGUGAGUAACACGUGGGUAACCUACCUAUAAGACUGGAAUAACUCCGGGAAACCGGGGCUAAUGCCGGAUAACAUUUAGAACCGCAUGGUUCUAAAGUGAAAGAUGGUUUUGCUAUCACUUAUAGAUGGACCCGCGCCGUAUUAGCUAGUUGGUAAGGUAGCGGCUUACCAAGGCAACGAUACGUAGCCGACCUGAGAGGGUGAUCGGCCACACUGGAACUGAGACACGGUCCAGACUCCUACGGGAGGCGGCAGUAGGGAAUCUUCCGCAAUGGGCGAAAGCCUGACGGAGCAACGCCGCGUGAGUGAUGAAGGUCUUCGGAUCGUAAAACUCUGUUAUUAGGGAAGAACAAAUGUGUAAGUAACUGUGCACGUCUUGACGGUACCUAAUCAGAAAGCCACGGCUAACUACGUG